UAUGGGGGGGGCAAGCGUUGUUCGGAAUUACUGGGCGUAAAGGGCUCGUAGGCGGCCAACUAAGUCAGACGUGAAAUCCCUCGGCUUAACCGGGGAACUGCGUCUGAUACUGGAUGGCUUGAGUUUGGGAGAGGGAUGCGGAAUUCCAGGUGUAGCGGUGAAAUGCGUAGAUAUCUGGAGGAACACCGGUGGCGAAGGCGGCAUCCUGGACCAACACUGACGCUGAAAAGCGAAAGCCAGGGGAGCAAACGGG
rnacentral:rRNA from 1 species